rnacentral:lncRNA from 1 species
AGACAUUGCCUAACACAUUUGUUUAAGCAAGUGUCAUGAUCCCUGAAAAAAAUUAACAUUAGAUAACUAACAAAAAGUCCACAAUCUCAAGUAUAAAUUAAAUUUACUAGCCAAAAUAUAAACCUAACCAUAUCAAACAAAACUUCAACACAAACUCCCUAGAUACCUAACACAAUGAGCAUGAUAAUAGUUGAGAGAACACAUAAAUAAAGUUUUUAUACCAAAAAUGUGCAUUGCAUGUCCACACAUACUAACUUAACAAUAUUACAAUUAUCAAAAGAUCAUAACAACAUUAAACAAUAUGAAACUUAAAUACAUUAUUUGAAGCAAAUCAAAUAAAAAUCAAAGUUAUNNNNNNNNNNNNNNNNNNNNNNNNNNNNNNNNNUACAUAAGUUUUCUUAGCUCUUUCAUCCACCGAUGAGGAGUCCUUCUUCUUAGAGUGAAGUCUUCACAUAAACGUUUGACCCCUGGAAGUUAAAUGAUGAUACUCUAAGACAACUGAAGAGAAAAUGGAUGGUUAAAUAUAGGAGUAGUAAAAAAGUUACCUUAUAUUUCAAGACUUGUUCCUUUUGUUUCUCUUCGAACUGCUGGUGCAAGAUAUGCUCACGCUCAGCCUUCUUCUGUGCCCAGGCUACAUAUAGAAUCUUUUAUUUUAUUCAUCUGCGAUUAAUUGCACGGAGCAACUGUGUAUCACUACUAGUUCUAGUCAUAAUUAAACAUGCAACUAAUUGAUACCUGGAGUACAAUCUCAUUUAUUUUCAAUUGAUACCUGUCCUAUAUGUGAGCA